rnacentral:rRNA from 1 species
CAAGUCCUACGGGGGGCAGCAGUGGGGAAUAUUGGGCAAUGGGCGCAAGCCUGACCCAGCAACGCCGCGUGAAGGAAGAAGGCUUUCGGGUUGUAAACUUCUUUUCUCAGGGACGAACAGAUGACGGUACCUGAGGAAUAAGCCACGGUUAACUACGUGCCAGCAGCCGCGGUAAUACGUAGGUGGCAAGCGUUAUCCGGAUUUACUGGGUGUAAAGGGCGUGUAGGCGGGGACGCAAGUCAGAUGUGAAAACCACGGGCUCAACCUGUGGCCUGCAUUUGAAACUGUGGUUC